UAGGUCCAAGUCCCAUUCUCGUAUACCAAAAACGAAGUAUUCAUGCUUUAAAUCAGAGUACCUCACCAUCGUUCAUCUAAGCCCGUUCUAAGUUCUAACACACGAGAAACAAGUUUCUUUCUCUGUGUUCUUCUUUCCCAUAAAUUCACUCAGCUUAUCUUUAUCUCACGAUUUUCGUAGCAUGUCAAAUCUAUCAAACCCACACCUCUAUCACCACUUUUCCCCUGUCAGUCUAGUUGCUUAUCUUUUAUAUUUUAUCUCUACCAUCCAUUUCAGUCAUAACCCUAGGUUUUUACUCCUACAAGAACAUGUCGGCUGUUUGGUUUUCAAAAGCGACGGAAUUGACAAGCUAGAGAUUUGAUUUUGUUUCUCUCUGCAAAUAUCAACAGCAGCUGCACGCAAUUGACAGAAAUAGGGUGAUGUGAUGAUUAAGCAACUGACAAUUAGGUCUGAGUUCAAACAGCGACAACAUCAAUCAAAUGGGUGAAGGUAGUGCAGUGGCGGUACAUGAAUGAAGAGUCUUAGAAAGUGGUACCUGAGAUACUGCUGCGCAAACCCAAGGAGGAGAAGAAAAAGAGCGAGACAACCUGUUGGUUGUGCCUAAACCCGGUCUUAUACCGGCGAUAUCGUGCCUCAACUUUAAUAUUCUUUCCUUGAAUGAUACACCAUCUUGCAUGCAAACUGAACUAGCUUCUAAGCAUUGUCAAACCCCUGCCACAUAUAACAUCUUUGUGUAUGAUCCUGUGAUGUUUAAGCAACUUAUUUGCUAGAUGAAUUGUUGUUUCAUUGUGC